rnacentral:tRNA from 1 species
UUUUAGGUGGCCGAGUAGAAGGUAUUAGAUUUUUGAUCUAACUGACAGCUCUAAGUGGAGAGCUUCUAAAAA